rnacentral:rRNA from 1 species
UAGGGAAUAUUAGAAAUGGACGAAAGUCUGAUCUAGCAACACCGCGUGUGCGAAGAAGGCCUUCGGGUCGUAAAGCACUUUUUGGAAGGAAUAGGAAGGAAUGUACUUCCAGAAUAAGUCUCGGCUAACUACGUGCCAGCAGCCGCGGUAACACGUAGGAGGCGAACGUUAUCCGGAUUUACCGGGCGUAAAGCGCGUGUAGGUGGUACUGUAAGUAGGGCGUGAAAGCUCCUGGCUUAACUGGGAGAGGCCGUUCUAAACUACAGAACUAGAGGAUGGUAGAGGGAGGUGGAAUUCCAGGUGUAGCGGUGGAAUGCGCAGAUAUCUGGAGGAACACCGGUGGCGAAGGCGGCCUCCUGGACCAUUCCUGACACUCAGACGCGAAAGCUAGGGUAGCAAACGG